rnacentral:rRNA from 1 species
GACGAACGCUGGCGGCGUGCUUAACACAUGCAAGUCGAACGGAAAGGCCCUGCUUUUGUGGGGUGCUCGAGUGGCGAACGGGUGAGUAACACGUGAGUAACCUGCCCUUGACUUUGGGAUAACUUCAGGAAACUGGGGCUAAUACCGGAUAGGAGCUCCUGCUGCAUGGUGGGGGUUGGAAAGUUUCGGCGGUUGGGGAUGGACUCGCGGCUUAUCAGCUUGUUGGUGGGGUAGUGGCUUACCAAGGCUUUGACGGGUAGCCGGCCUGAGAGGGUGACCGGGCCCAAUGGGGCAGGGGUACCGGCCAGACUCCUACCGGGGGCAGCAGUGGGGAAUAUUGCAAAAUGGGCGGAAGCCUGAUGCAGCAACGCCGCGUGCGGGAUGACGGCCUUCGGGUUGUAAACCGCUUUCGCCUGUGACGAAGCGUGAGUGACGGUAAUGGGUAAAGAAGCACCGGCUAACUACGUG